GAGACAUUUGCAGCUGAGUGAUUCUCUACUAUGGGUUUUUGCUAUGCAUUGUGAGGUGUUUAUCAGCAUCCCUGGGUCCUACCAGAUGGCGUUAGCACCACCAACCCCAACCCUGCCCCUGUUAUGAUAACCAGAUAUCUCUGCAGAGAUUACCAGCUAUACUUUGAGAGGGAACAUUGCCUUGGUUGUUAAGUCCAGUCCAGGGUACUAGACUGGUGUGUGUGUGUGUGUGUGUGUGUGUGUGUGUUUUAGAGAUUUCCAAAAUGUGAAUGAAUACUUUUGAAGUGUCAUUCCAAUGUGUAGUCAGUUGACAUCUUAAUCUUAUGGCCUCACAAACCAAGAUUUUCUUGUCAUAUGUAGAUUUUUCUUAUUUUAAAUCAGAUUGCAGCUAUAACAUCUAGCACAGCUUCUUUUGCAAUUGACACCUAUCUACCUUCACCUUCUUCCUUCCAUAUUUUGAACACACUACCACCACCACAUCUCUAAAAAACAGAAUUCAGUGCCUAUUUUUUUAUUUUGCAAACCAAAGGGUUUUUUUAUUUUUUAUUUUGCAAUUAGUACUUUGAUAUACUUUUUGAAGAACAUGGUUCUUAACUUUGAUAUACAUUGGAGUCCCAUCUCCAGGGACAACAAGAUACACUAGCUCUUAUCUUAAGGCCUACUCAGGAAUUCAAAAAUAUCUCAGUUGAUAACUACUGAUUUAGAGUCUGUAAAACCCAUUGUAAAAACAGCCUGCUCAUUUUCUGAAAAAUUGUCUUCUUCCAAUUUUGAAUUUUUUUUUAAUGGUGAAAGCUUAAAACAUGUAUUUUUCUCUGAGACAUUUCAUUUCUUUGGUCAGUAAAAAGAUAAAAAAAUUUUCCCCAGGAAUAUUCUGAUCCAAAUUUCCUCCUUAUCUUACUGCAUGUAAUGAAUAAUUAAUUCUAAUUGAGUAGCCAAUUUCAGCCAGCAUUACCACUAUUGGUAUUAAUACCUACAGUUAGAACAAAGUUUAAAUUGUUGUGUAUAUAUAAUAGGAAUUUCAAGACAACUACUCCCUUGUUUUAGUAUAAGCUUUUACAACACACCCUUGGAUGAAGAUAUCACAAGCCUCUUCAGUUUAAGGAGGAUUCUAACUUUAUAUUUCCACUUAAUGAAGCCCUUAUGUUGAAAGACCAAUUUAAUUAAGAGUACAGGCUUAAUGAGCCCAUCGAAAACAUUAAAUGUGAGUGGCCACCAACGGCAACCUCAGUCUGGGAAGGCUGUGGGGAAUGCUUCAGCACCCCCCCCCCCCGUGGGUGAAGAUAUGAGGCGUCCAAGUUGCUCUCCAGCCCAGGAGUCAUACAGGUGACCAGCAUGGUUAGCUUUCUGGGCUAGUGCCUUCCCCUCAGCUCCAGUCUUAGCUCAUUUCUGCAAACAGAACCCUCAUUUUUCACUCCACACCCGGAUAUUCCUCCUCACACUUUGUUUCAUGGCUUCUUUGAGUGUCUCUGCUUAAAUGUGGUUGAGUAUGGAAAGAAUGCCCUUCAUGUCCCAGUGAAUGAGCAAAGGAGAAGAAAAUAGCUGGGCCAUGUCACAGGCGUGUAAUCCCAGCAGCUCGGGAGGCUGAGGUGGAAGGAUGAGGGGUUCAAUGACAGCCUCAGCCAUUUAGCAAGGCCCUAUCUCCAAAUAAAACCUAAAAUGGGCUGGAGAUAUGUCAGUGG
rnacentral:lncRNA from 1 species